AGUAAAAUUCCUGGGUCAUACAGUAAGUUUAUGUUUAACUUUUUAAGAAACUGCUAAAAUGUUUUCCAAAAUUACUGUACUGUUUUACAUUCUCACCAGCAAC
rnacentral:pre_miRNA from 1 species